AUUGAACGCUGGCGGCAUGCCUUACACAUGCAAGUCGAACGGCAGCACGGGGCAACCUGGUGGCGAGUGGCGAACGGGUGAGUAAUGCAUCGGAACGUGCCAUUGGGUGGGGGAUAACGUAGCGAAAGUUGCGCUAAUACCGCAUAUUCUGUGAGCAGGAAAGCAGGGGACCGCAAGGCCUUGCGCUCUUUGAGCGGCCGAUGUCAGAUUAGCUAGUUGGUGAGGUAACGGCUUACCAAGGCGACGAUCUGUAGCGGGUCUGAGAGGAUGAUCCGCCACACUGGAACUGAGACACGGUCCAGACUCCUACGGGAGGCAGCAGUGGGGAAUUUUGGACAAUGGGCGCAAGCCUGAUCCAGCCAUGCCGCGUGAGUGAAGAAGGCCUUCGGGUUGU
rnacentral:rRNA from 1 species